GACGAACGCUGGCGGCGUGCUUAACACAUGCAAGUCGUACGGUAAGGCCCUUUCGGGGGUACACGAGUGGCGAACGGGUGAGUAACACGUGAGUAACCUGCCCACAACUUUGGGAUAACGCUAGGAAACUGGUGCUAAUACUGGAUAUGUGCUCCUGCUGCAUGGUGGGGGUUGGAAAGCUCCGGCGGUUGUGGAUGGACUCGCGGCCUAUCUGCUUGCUGGUGGGGUAGUGGCCUACCAAGGCGGCGACGGGUAGCCGGCCUGAGAGGGUGACCGGCCACAUUGGGACUGAGAUACGGCCCAGACUCCUACGGGAGGCAGCAGUGGGGAAGAUUGAACAAUGGGCGCAAGCCUGAUGCAGCAACGCCGCGUGCGGGAUGACGGCCUUCGGGUUGUAAACCGCUUUCAGCAGGGACGAAGCUUUUUGUGACGGUACCUGCAGAAGAAGCACCGGCUAACUACGUG
rnacentral:rRNA from 1 species